UCCGAUUUGUCACCGGCAGUCUCCCAUGCAGCACCUGUGCACGGGCUCCGAAGAGGGCCUGCCGUUUCUGGCAAGUUUCCCGUGUAUGUCAAGCCUAGGUAAGGUUCUUCGCGUUGCGUCGAAUUAAACCACAUGCUCCACCGCUUGUGCGGGCCCCCGUCAAUUCCUUUGAGUUUUAACCUUGCGGCCGUACUCCCCAGGCGGAUGACUUAACGCGUUAGCUGCGCCACCGAAACGCUAAGCGCCCCGACAGCUAGUCAUCAUCGUUUACGGCGUGGACUAC
rnacentral:misc_RNA from 1 species